GGUGCAAAUGAUGCAUAUGCUAGUGACCAAAGCCUGGCUUUCGCUGAUUAGUUAUAAUUAACUGACUUCACU
ensembl:snoRNA